GGAAGACAUGAGCUGAGUCACCAGGGCCACGAGCCUGUGCCUUCUCAAAUGAGUCGUGACCAAAGUGAGCUGGACUCUACACGCCGCUUUCGGGCAUCUUCUAGGGAAAACAACUACAGUCUCAGAAGGGAAUUCGAGGAUUAAGUGAAAACAAAGGAGCUGAAUUACCAGGUUUCUACCCCAGCAGCUUAUUACUGAACAGGGAGUGAAACUUUUACUUCAUUCUGAACAUUUCACUCUGAUAUUAGAAACCUGAUCCAAGUCUCGGAUUCCCAUGUUCUGCUGCAAUGAUGUCACAAGCAACCCCUCCAAAUCCCAGCAGCUUCCAACCACAGGAGGAAAUUCAGAAGCAGUAUCUCCACCAAGUCGCCAGCAUUUGCCUGGACUUGAGGUUGGGAAUGCCUUCCCUACUGUGGCCCAUGUGUUAUUAAAAGUACAAAACGGAAGAGGAGUGGGGGAGUGUGCUGUUCCAACAGAAGGAUGACUAAGUGGCAGGCAUUGAUAUGCACUAUGUAUUUGACAACUUUAAGCACAAGAAGCUAAAAACAAAAACAAAGAAGGUCCCUGCCUUCAUGGAGCUUACAGU